ensembl:miRNA
GGCCUGCCCGACACUCUUUCCCUGUUGCACUACUGUGGGCCACUGGGAAGCAGUGCAAUGAUGAAAGGGCAUCGGUCAGGUC